GACGAACGCUGGCGGCGUGCUUAACACAUGCAAGUCGAACGGAAAGACCCUGCUUUUGUGGGGUGCUCGAGUGGCGAACGGGUGAGUAACACGUGAGUAACCUGCCCUUGACUUUGGGAUAACUUCAGGAAACUGGGGCUAAUACAGGAUAGGAGCUCCUGCUGCAUGGUGGGGGUUGGAAAGUUUCGGCGGUUGGGGAUGGACUCGCGGCUUAUCAGCUUGUUGGUGGGGUAGUGGCUUACCAAGGCUUUGACGGGUAGCCGGCCUGAGAGGGUGACCGGCCACCUUGGGACUGCGAUACGGCCCAGACUCCUACGGGAGGCAGCAGUGGGGAAUAUUGCACAAUGGGCGGAAGCCUGAUGCAGCAACGCCGCGUGCGGGAUGACGGCCUUCGGGUUGUAAACCGCUUUCGCCUGUGACGAAGCGUGAGUGACGGUAAUGGGUAAAGAAGCACCGGCUAACUACGUG
rnacentral:rRNA from 1 species